rnacentral:rRNA from 1 species
CAGUAGCCGCGGUAAUACAGAGGGUGCGAGCGUUAAUCGGAUUUACUGGGCGUAAGGCGUGCGUAGGCGGCUUCUUAAGUCGGAUGUGAAAUCCCUGAGCUUAACUUAGGAAUUGCAUUCGAUACUGGGAAGCUAGAGUAUGGGAGAGGAUGGUAGAAUUCCAGGUGUAGCGGUGAAAUGCGUAGAGAUCUGGAGGAAUACCGAUGGCGAAGGCAGCCAUCUGGCCUAAUACUGACGCUGAGGUACGAAAGCAUGGGGAGCAAACAGGAUUAGAUACCCGAGUAGUCCCUGUCUCUUAUAC